AGUCCUGUGAGUUUAACACUUCAUGACUGAGAGCUGCUGCCCAGCAACUUCACCCACAGCAACCAUGACUUUCUUCUCCAUCUUCAUCUGGACUCUCACUCUCUGGACUGGAGAGUCUUUUGGGGAAAUCAUAAUGACUCAGUCUCCAAAUUCUCAGCUUGUGACUCCAGGACAGACUGUUACCAUCAGAUGCAGAUCCAGUCAGAGCAUCAGCAGCGCUCUCGCCUGGUAUCUUCAGAAAUCUGGAGAAGCUCCUAAACUGCUGGUCUAUCUUGCUUCUUCUCGUCAGUCUGGAGUUUCUGAUCGUUUUACUGGGAGUGGAUCUGGAUCUGAAUAUUCUCUACAGAUCUCUGGAGUUCAGGCUGGAGAUGCAGGAGAUUAUUACUGUCAGCAGGGUUACAUCCCGAUCACACAGUGUUAGAGCGUCGUACAAAAACCUCCCUCAGCUGUAGAGGAAGUGCUCAGACUCAGAAACACACACUGAUCUGAGAUCAGCUGAUAAAGCUGCACUCAGCUGAGCUCAUCAACUCCAGAACUCUACAGUAGUGAACAUUUCUCUCUCUUUAGGGAGUUUUCCUCACUGUGGAACAGAGAUUUCACCACUAGAUGGAACAUCUCACUAGUAGCAGUGAAGCAGCAGCAGAUACACACUCUUAGGAGAUCACACACACUCUCCAGAGACUGGGAUUAAAAUUUCAGAUCAUUUUUGGAAGAAAUGGACGACGUGAGCUCCAGAACAAAACUGAAAAGUACCAUGCAGACUGUUCUCAGCAACAAGUCCAAAAUUCAGGUUCAGUCAUGGUAUGGAGGUGCAUCACUACACUUCUGUGAUGCAGCAUUAAUGCAGAAAUAAUACAAAACCACAUUAAAAUACAUGACUGUGGAAGAACAGCGUACAGAUACUGGACUGUCCUGCCUGCAGUCCUGAUCUGUAUCCAGUAGUGAUGUGUUUACAGGAAGAAUAAAACAGAAUUAAACCUGAACAAUUUCAUCACUUAAUAUCUUCACCAAAGAUCUAUAGUAACAAAAUAGAAGUACCUCACUACUGUAUUUAAGUACUAAAAUACUGUAUCUGUACUCUAUUGGAUUAUUAUGUUUACUACACUACUGUACUUAAGUACUAAAAUACUGUAUCUGUACUC